GGGCGCAUAGCUCAAUGGCAGAGCACUACUCUUAUAAAGUAGGGGUUCUAGGUUCGAUCCCUAGUGCGCCCACCG
rnacentral:tRNA from 1 species